rnacentral:rRNA from 1 species
GAGGAAGGUGGGGAUGACGUCAAGUCCUCAUGGCCCUUAUGUCCUGGGCUACACACGUGCUACAAUGGCGGUGACAGUGGGAAGCCAGGCAGCGAUGCCGAGCUGAUCCUCAAAAGCCGUCUCAGUUCGGAUUGCACUCUGCAACUCGGGUGCAUGAAGGUGGAAUCGCUAGUAAUCGUGGAUCAGCAUGCCACGGUGAAUACGUUCCCGGGCCUUGUACACACCGCCCGUCACGCCAUGGGAUUUGGUUUGACCUUAAGUUGGUGCGCUAACCGCAAGGAGGCAGCCAACCACGGUCGGGUUAGAGACUGGGGUGAAGUCGUAACAAGGUAGCCGUAA